rnacentral:rRNA from 1 species
CUGCUGCCUUCCGUAGGAGUCUGGUCCGUGUCUCAGUACCAGUGUGGGGGACCUUCCUCUCAGAACCCCUACGCAUCGUCGGUUAGGUGGGCCGUUACCCCGCCUACUGCCUAAUGCGCCGCAUGCCCAUCCCUGUCCGGCCGAAGCCUUUCCUCCGGGCUCGG